rnacentral:rRNA from 1 species
GAUAAACGCUGGCGGCGCACAUAAGACAUGCAAGUCGAACGAACUUAAUACCUUGCUUGCGAGGUAAGCGGUUAGUGGCGGACUGGUGAGUAACACGCAAGAAAUCUGCCUAUCAGAGGGGAAUAACGGUGAGAAAUCAUUGCUAAUACCGCAUAUUCCAUAGGAAUCGAAUGAUGCUAGUGGGAAAGGAGUAAUCCGCUUAUUGAUGAGGUUGCGUCUGAUUAGCUAGUUGGUGGGGUAAAGGCCUACCAAGGCGACGAUCAGUAGCCGGACUGAGAGGUUGAGCGGCCACAGUGGGACUGAGAUACGGCCCAGACUCCUACGGGAGGCAGCAGUCGGGAAUAUUGCGCAAUGGAGGAAACUCUGACGCAGUGACGCCGCGUAUAGGAAGAAGGUUUUCGGAUUGUAAACUAUUGUCCAUAGGGAAGAUAAAAGACUGUACCUAUGAAGAAAGCUCCGGCUAACUACGUGCCAGCCGCCGCCGUAA